AUGGGCAAUAAAUAUGAUUAGUGUAUCCUCCAAAUCCAACGAAGAAGAAGAGAAGGUUCUCUAUAUGCUACACUCUUCAACCGAGUUCUUUCAAUAUUCUUGCCACCGCCUGCAUUCUCACUGCCGCCGCCGCCGCAGGCCUUUGAUUUCUCGGAGUUCUGUACAGUUAUUCAAAGUAAGUUCCUUCAAAGAGUGACAUGCAUUGAUGCAUGACGGAAGGAUUGUGAUACUGCUGUAAUCAAGGGAUAAAUUUGUGACAUGGUGAAAGCAAGGAAGAAGUGUAACGAGAAAUUCUUCUGUUAGAUGGCAAAAGCUGAAGUCAACAACACUUGUCAUAUCUGAAGACGUUGUUUCCCGCCGUUGAUCUUUGCCCUUCUUAAUUCGUGCAAGCCUCUUACAACUAUAAACCUCCAAAGUCUUCAGUUUUGGCAACAUAAAAAUACUAUUUGGUAAUUCAAGUAGCUUGUUGCAUCUAUCUAUAGAAAGGUUUGCAAGCCCCACAAGAAGUCCAAUGGAGUAGGGCAAUUCACUUAUGCCGGUAUCACUUAGACCAAGAUAUGUUAUGUUGACCAUCUUACCUAAAGUUUCUGGAAAAAUCUUGAUACUUGUACAAUUCCUAAGGGACAUGGUUUUAAGAGAGGGUAAGUUGAUGCCUUGAGGAAGAACACUGAGACUGGUGCAACGAUUAAGAUUCAAAUCUUCAAGUUUUUGAAGGAACCCGACGGAAUCAUGAACUUGAAUUAAAUUCUUGCAGGAAUCGAGAUGCAGUUUCUUCAAAUUCGGAGCUCCUGACAUGUCAGUCUUUUGUUCAACGAACCGCACCUGAAUCAUGCUCACAAACGGGGCAUCUAGUAGUCGAGGAACGAGGAAGUGGGGCCAGUAUAACUUUAGAGAAUGAAGUUGGCUUGGAGAUUGAGGUAUCCAUACAUUUUGAAUUCUUCACUAUCAAUAACAAGGAUGCAUAUUAAGAUUUCAUUGCCGACAUCAUGUUGGCUGUCGAGAUGGGGGCAGAAAACAUUAAAUUGUGAACAUAUUAAUAGUUGAUAGUAUCACAUGUUAAAAGAGGUCUGUCUCCCUAGUAAAGACAAGAGCCAACUCGUAUUCUGUGAUAGAGUGAACUUUGCAUUAAAGAGGAUUGUCGACUCCUUAAUUGAAAUGUGAAUAUGAGAUAUUCUCUUGUGCCAUAGCCAUAAUUUAUACUCUUUUCUAAGAAGACAACAUGCCUCAUUUGAAGAUAUAUUAUUCAAAUUGACAAGAUAAAUAUUUCCAAUUCUUUGAUUAGAAAAAAAGUCCAUUUUUUAAAUGAUUUUAUGACCUUUAUAUAUAGAAGAACAAUACUUCAUUACCUUUGUUACACAUUUCACUAAUACCAAGUUAAUUGCAUUUUAAACCUUUAACAAGUAAGACAUCUUCAAAGGUAGGAUUAAAACUCUUACCAACAAUACUAGAAACAACAAUUUAAUCUUUGUUGUUGUCACCAUAAGAGACAUAACCUCCAUUCUUAGGAGUGAAAUAUGAAAAAGUGUUUUUUGUCUUCCAUCAUAUAUUUUGAACAAUUAUUGUUGAGAUAACAUUUUUAGUUUGAGACGGGAAUCACAAAUUUAAGUCUUGACCUUUCGUAUUCCAAUCAUUUUGUGUCCUUUAGAUUUAGUGUAAAACAUGUUGUCUUUUGAAAUUCAUUUCCUCGUGACAUUUGUUUCGUGAUAUUUUCCCAUAUAACAAAAAGAAUAAGUGUGACCACGUUUACCACAUUAAAAACAUUUGGGUGUAAUAUGAUUAGAUGUCAUAUUUUGACGAUUAUAAUUUUUUAAACAAUUUAGCAUUAGUUUUUUGUUGAUAGUCUAUAUCGACUUUAUUGUAAGUUUCUCUUUGAUUGUCUAAGACGAUGUAGUGUUAUGCAAGUAUUCAAUUUUAGUUUUAAGAUUUUGCAUUCUUCACACUUACUAGUUUUUAAAUUUUUUUCCUUUCAAAAAGAGUAGAAAGAGAGUCUUUACUUAGAUAAAGUUUGUUUCUAUUUAAAAAGUUCUAUUUCCUAAUUUAUUUAAUCCAUUAUAUAAUUCUUAGUAGAUAUAAUAAACAUCAUUAUAUGUAAGUUAAGUUUUAAAGUUGUUUACCUCAUUUUCUUUGUGGUUUCCUAUGGGACAUAGGUUCACUUCUUCCUCUUGUUAGUUUCAUAGGAUGGGUAAAUGUUGUCCUCAUCCCAUGUUAUGUAAGAGCACCUCCAAUGGGAGGUUCUUCACUGCCGUUUUUCAGGUGGCAUCAAACUUUAUGUUCUCAAGGUGCUCUAGCUGGCCAACGGAAUAAAGAGAAGCAACAGUUCAUUCACUUUUUUUUAUAUUUUAAAAUACAAACUAGCCAUUGAGGGACCCAAUAUGAACAUAAUAUGAAUAAUAUGUUAAUUUAUAAAAUAAAGUUGUGGGACCUAAUAUGAGUUCUUGAGUUGCACCAUUGAAGUGAAAAAUUAAUUGAGUUGUUUCAAGCUGACGUGGCUUAAUAUGGCCCACAAAAAGCUAAAAAAUGAGUUCAUGAUUGGAGAUGCUCUAAGUUGUUUCUGAUUGUUUUUUUGGACUUUUGUAUAUUUCAGAUUUCUUUUGAUUAUGCGGAUAUUUUGACUUUAUAUGAAUCUUUUAGCCGCAUUAAAAGCAUGUCAGAAUGAAAGAUGAUAUUUCUUAUCUUUUUUUAAAGUUUGGUGGUUAU